rnacentral:rRNA from 1 species
GACGAACGCUGGCGGCGUGCUUAACACAUGCAAGUCGAACGGAAAGGCCCUGCUUUUGUGCGGUGCUCGAUUGGCGAACGGGGGAGUAACACGUGAGUAACCUGCCCUUGACUUUGGGAUAACUUCACGAAACUGCGGCUCUUACCGGAUGGGAUCUCCUGCUGCAUGUUGGUGGUUGGUAAGUUUCGGCGGUUGUGGAUGGACUCGCGGCUUAUCAGCUUGUUUGUGGGGUAGUUGCUUACCAAGGCUUUGACGGGUAGCCGGCCUGAGAGGGUGACCGGCCACAUUGGGACUGAGAUACGGCGCAGACGCGUACGGGAGGCAGCAGGGGGGAAUAUUGCACAAUGGGCGGAAGCCUGAGGCAGCAACGUCGCGUGCGGGAUGACGGGCUUCGGGUUGUAAACAGCUGUCGCAUGUGACGAAGCGUGAGUGACGGUAAUGGGUAAAGAAGCACCGGCUAACUACGUG